CAAAAUACAAUGAAAAGAAGUAGUAAAUAUAAUAAGACGUCACAGAGAGUCCUUUAUCGGUGGAAGAAGGAUACCGAAGAUUAUAUUGAAUUCCUCUUGGAGUAGGAUACUGAAUGCAUUCUUUUGAAGAAUUGUUAAUAGGUAUUUCCGGUAGCAGCCGUUAUCUGCAAGGGUAUAACCGUUAUGAACGACGUACCUGACGAGGCAGUUGUCGUGAGACAAUUGUAAAAUGAGGUGGAACCACGAAGUAUAUAAUACUCUCGUCCUCUGU
rnacentral:ncRNA from 1 species